GUUCAUGUUGUCUGCUGAGCGGGAAACCCGACGCGGACCACCCAUCUGCAUCAGCUCAGCAGAUUCUGCUGAGGGUGGCGCCGACGAGGAUGAGGUGGAUGGCUGUGAGGUCCUGGCUGUUGCUUCUGAAGCUGUCGAUCUGGAGAACCUCGAGCUCGACCAGGGAAUCGAACAAGCCAUCCAAGGUGACGUGCCUGCUGUAAGGCAGCCUGCAGAGUACUAACCACUGCUACCACCUGUGUGUGACCCUGUGGAACGCAGGAGAGAUUCUGACCUUUCCAAAAACUUGUUGCCCUGAUGAUGGCCAAAUGCGUGCACAUGACACCUGGCGCCGUUUGCAAAGCAGAGCUCCAGCUAAAGUUUGUCUGAGCCAUCCUUGUCAGAGGCACUUUGACGCCUUCUGCGUAAGCUGCUGGCUUAGACUCACAAAAGAAGAUGCGGUGUCCUUACCGUUCGGCCGGCUAAUCCAGACUUAGCUGCGUGGCGUCGUCUUCAGCUGACCUCCACAGGCAAGUGCUGGCUUGGUAAGUCCAUCAUCCUCACAGGCGACGAGCGAGCGCAGUUCCCAUGGAAAGCAUCCCAACUCCCUGUGCCUGCAAGUAGGGGUGGUGUCCUGACUUGAUUCAGGUCCAAGCUGUCUUAUUUUUUUAUCAUAUUUGCACUUCCACAGAACUCUUAAGUUGCAAAGAUCUCUAUCAACAUUCUUUUACGGAGAAGCCAGGGCUUCAUAGCUUGAUGGCAGGUUGAUUCAUUCAGAUAGACGAGAGAUGGAUGUUUAGAGAAGCAGCUGACACGUGCUUCACCUCAGAAAACUCCUGUCAACAUGUCCUUUCUGAUGGAGAUCCUGAAGCUUCCCACUCCUCACACGAACAGAUGCGCGGUACACCACAGGAGCAGAUCAAAACUUGAGGAACGGUGUGAGGUAUUGAGCCAGACCUCAGUCAUAACUUUAACUUCUCCACCUCUGUUGUGAAACUUCUUUGCCCUCAGGACAGUUCUUCAACACUCUAGAGCUGUGCAGGAAAGAGAAGAGCGUGCAGGUCCUUACCCUGUGUCCAGUCGUGGGUCUCCCCUCACAGCAGGAACUCUCUAGGUCAAGAAGAUGACUUUGGGUGAGGAGAGAGCGCGUGGUUACUGUAAGUGGAGCAGAGAGCUCCUCUGCCUGCCUCCCCCCUUCAACCGUUGCUCCUCCUUCUCCUCAGUAGUUGUGCUUGUGGGCCGAGUCGGAUUACUCCUGACAUGAUAAUCUCCCUGGCUCUAGCUCCAGGAGCACUAAAGGAUGCUUUGGCCUGACCGAGGGCUUACAUUUAGCUUCUGCUUCAAUAAAGUUUGCCACCUUAAGCUGGAGAUUGGUGAAGACCUCUGUUUGGCAGAUCUGUGUACGCUGAAGGAAGUUUUCAAAUCCUUCAAGAGGAAACUGCCAAAAUGUACAGUUAGUGUAAGACUUAAUUAAGACAAAAUCAAAGCUUGUUACAGAGAAUGAUCACAGCAGAGUUUUUAUUUUAAUUUUAAUUUUUUUCUGAUUCAGUCUUCACUCGGCUGCAGAUAUAAAACCCUGGCUGUUGUUGUUGACAAUCUCACGUUCACCUCUCCUUCAAUACUCACCAGUGUUUUAGCCCUUGAGCCUUGAGUGCCAAAUUAGAAACAGAUGGUUGUGCUUGUGGAAGGUAUCAGGCGCUCCAGACUGCAAUCUAAAUAAAUACCCUGUCCAUGAAGGAAAUGCGUCAGGUGUGUGGGGUCAGUCCGUGUAUAAACACAGGCCUCACCAUGGUGGAGAUGAGUGAAGUGAUGCAAGAGGGUGACUGGAGGACGGAGAUACACAACACUGUACAGGUGCAGUUUGGAUUUUGGACCGGUCAGAAACACAGAUGAAGAUAUUGGACUCUAGUGUUCUAAACUGGACUAAAGUGUUUUUUUUUAAAAAAAAACAACAACUAAACACAACAAUCUUAAAUGAACAAAUAACACAUUUUCCUGCUAUGAAUCACUCAUGACUGUUCCCACUCCAGUGUACUUGAGUCACGCACUGAAGAAUCACUAAUGGACUUUCAUUCAUUCAUCUUCUUGGGGGAUCUGGAGCCAAUCCCAGCAGUCAUUGGGUGAGGACUGGGUGGACCCUGGAUAGUUGAACAGUCAGUCAGACAGAUCCAUGUAAAGAGGGGAAAAAACAACAACUGUUCACACUGGCAUUCACACCUAAGGUCCAGUUUAGGGUGAAUAAUUGACCUGAUCCUGUAGGUAUUUGGACCAACACAGACCUGGAGAAGAUCUGAACUCCGUACACAGAGACCAUCGAUUAUUACAUGGGUGCAACCAGUGAUGUUCGCACUGUAAAGCAAGACCACUAACCACUCCAUCGCCGUGUUGUCCUAAUGAAUCUCUUAGAUAUUACAAUUCUCUGUCAAAACUUUGUCUCUUUCUUUCACAAACUUGUACUGAUGGAAAUUCACUGGCAACAGUGGUUUGACCCAAACCAAAAACAUUCCUGAGGCACUUCCUCCUCUUUACUUCAAACCCGUUAACGUGAAGCCAACGGAAACACAGCAGAUUGAGAAAACCUGCAGGACCCUCAACAGGUGCACGUUGAUCACGAGCUCCUCCGCUUCCAAAGGAGACAUGGGAGUCAUCAAAUGUUACUUGUUUGACAUGUACCUGAACUGCUGGCGGGAAGAGUUUGUGUAAAAACACAUAAUGACUUCCACCAAGCUGGCAAUAUUGUGUUUUCUUGGCCUUGAGGAGGAACCAUCAGCAGGGAAACAUUUCCUGAAACAUUUGUAUUUGAUACAUAUUGUUCACAGAUGUGUAGAGUUUUGGUAGAGCAGCCUCGGCCACCCGGGCUAAAAACCUCACAGCUGUUAAUUGCUAAAUCAAGUCGGAGAUGAAAGGGUGAUGCAUUCGCUGCACAUACAAUGAAGCCCCUCAGUCAGUGGCGGACAUCACAUCAGUCAGGGGACAGUCAGACGUUCAGCGUACACAAGGACCAAAAUAAAGUAUGUUUCCAUUUUGAAUAUGAUAGAAUCCCGUAUACACUGGACCCAGGCCUUUCCACUGGGCGUGGGUAAGUGAAGAAACACAUUCUGUUAUGGUUCGGGCAGGAUUUUUAAAGAAGCCCUCAAUCAGUAACACUAUAAACACACCAUUCCAGCGGAGGUGUCAUUAGAAAGGCUGGAAAGGCGGCAGAGAAGUUGCUACUACGCUUGUCCUGUUGCAAAAGAUGUGGUUUGAUGAUUGGAAGAGCAGCCUUCAGCCAAAUGUCAUUUGGGUGAGUGGAAAAGUACUUUUCAGAAAAACCAAAAUCUAAACAGGCAUCUGUGGAAGAUACACUGGUACAAUAGAUGGGUUUUUUUUCCCUCUACUACUUUUUCCCAGAAUGUAAUCACAAAGUAAAUCCAUCCUGGCUGAAGAACAAAUAUACAUUGUAAUUUGUAGCAGUGACCAGAUGAGCUGAG